UGCAUUCACUACUGUAAAUCGCUCUGGAUAAGAGCAUCUGCUAAAUGACUAAAA
rfam:Salmo salar isolate Sally breed double haploid chromosome ssa02, whole genome shotgun sequence.